rfam:Prunus persica cultivar Lovell chromosome G3, whole genome shotgun sequence.
GAAAGAAGAGACUGUCAAGUUAGCCAAAGGAGACUGCCUGAGAACCCUAAAUAACCAGAGCUGUCCUCUUGGAAUUAGGAGGCAGGCAGGCAAGUCAUCCUUGGCUACCAAACAAGACUCUUAUCU